rnacentral:rRNA from 1 species
UACAGAGGUGGCAAGCGUUGUUCGGAAUUACUGGGCGUAAAGGGCGCGUAGGCGGCCUUCUAAGUCAGACGUGAAAUCCCCCGGCUUAACCUGGGAACUGCGUCUGAUACUGGGAGGCUAGAGUAUGGGAGAGGGAUGUAGAAUUCCAGGUGUAGCGGUGAAAUGCGUAGAUAUCUGGAGGAAUACCGGUGGCGAAGGCGGCAUCCUGGACCAUUACUGACGCUGAGGCGCGAAAAGCUAGGGGGAGCAAACGGG